GGAAUAAAUCAAUUUUAUUUUUUAGAUCAUACUCAUUGUGCCUCCUCAGACCCCAUUUCCAGUAGAAAAUAUAAAGGAUAUGUAUGUAUCCGUUUUAUGCUAUUAUCAUGUUUUAGGUUUGUCCGACAUCUGCAGAAUAAAUUGCAACAGUAGAAGUGCAACACAAGAUAGAGUUGCAUGCUAUUCAGAUGGACAAUGAGCACCAGUGGAAUAAAAAAAAUUACAACUGAGAUAUAUUAAUAAAAGAAAAAUAUACAUUUUAUAAAAGUAAA